rnacentral:rRNA from 1 species
ACUGAACGCUGGCGGCAUGCCUAAUACAUGCAAGUCGAGCGGAGCGACGGACGGGUGAGUAAUUCCUAGGUAUCUGCCUGGCAUUGGGGGAUAACGUACGUAAACGGGCGCUAAUACCAUAUACUAUUAGAUGAGCCUUGGGCGGGUUGGCUAGUUGGUGGGGUAAAGGCCUACAAAGGCGACGAUCCGUAACUGGUCUGAGAGGAUGACCAGUCACACGGGAACGGAGACACGGUCCAGACUCCUACGGGAGGCAGCAGUGGGGAAUAUUGGACAAUGGGCGAAAGCCUGAUGCAGCAAUGCCGCGUGUGUGAAGAAGGUCUUCGGAUGGUAAAGCACUUUAAGUUGGGAGGCGUUACCAACACAGAAAGCCCCGGCUAACUACGUGCCAGCAGCCGCGGUAAUAC